rnacentral:rRNA from 1 species
AGUGAACGCUGGCGGCGUGCCUAACACAUGCAAGUCGAACGGGCUAGUGCUUCGCACUAGUCUCUUUCUGGGGUUGCUACUCUAAGGCUACCUGCUAAAGUUAUUGCUUUAAAGCAGGGGUUUUAGGGGACCUUCCCCAAAAGGGGCCAGUGCGGAGCACUGGCCAGUGGCGAACGGGUGAGUAACACGUGGGUAAUCUGCCCUCGAGUGGGGAAUAAGCUCCCGAAAGGGGGUCUAAUACCGCAUGACGUUUCAUAACGAUGGUUAUGAAACCAAAGCCCAAAAGGCGCUUGAGGAGGAGCCUGCGUCCUAUCAGCUUGUUGGCAGGGUAAUGGCCUACCAAGGCUAUGACGGGUAGCCGGCCUGAGAGGGUGUCCGGCCACACUGGAACUGAGACACGGUCCAGACUCCUACGGGAGGCAGCAGUGGGGAAUUUUGCGCAAUGGGGGAAACCCUGACGCAGCGACGCCGCGUGGAGGAUGACGGCCUCGGUUGUAACGUCCUCGUCAGAGGACGGAAGUACCGACG